CACAUGAACACCGACACGUUGAACGCAUAUUGCGCCUUGCACGACUCAGUGCGAGGUACACAUUUUUGAGUGCCCACAUUCACCGCAGAACCCUAGCGAGGUCGUCGCCGCCGCCGGUCAGCCGGCGCGCGCGGCUUAGCUGCGUACUGAUGAUUUGAUUGACGCGCCGCGUCCCCAACCGGACGCGCCCGUGUGUGGUCAAGCAUUGAAGGACUGUGGCGUGGUGGGUGCACCGUGUGUCGUUGCUUAAUACGCGACCCUCUCUCCGGUUUCACAUCUGGAGCGGGCUAUCCAGUCACAAUCCCCAGCGAAAUGUGCCGAUACACGGGUAGCCCCGAUGUGGAGAUCCAAGCGAGGACCUCCCUCAAAACCAUUGUGAUGAAACCCCACCACACAAGAGAGAAGAGAGAGAGCGACCAAAAGCAACGUUCGCACGCGCUGUCAGCUCAUCGAGCGCGCACACGGAUCUAGGAACUAGGAUCUCAAGUGGGCCUCAAAUAAUGUGUGACUACCC
rnacentral:rRNA from 1 species